rnacentral:rRNA from 1 species
UCGGCUUAGAGUUUGAUCAUGGCUCAGGACGAACGCUGGCGGCAUGCCUAAUACAUGCAAGUCGAACGAGUGCUUGCACAGUGGCGAACUGGUGAGUAACACGUGGGAAAUCUGCCCAGAAGCAGGGGAUAACACUUGGAAACAGGUGCUAAUACCGUAUAACAACAAAUCCGCAUGGAUUUUGUUGAAAGGUGUUCGUAUCACUUCUGGAUGAUCCCGCGGCGUAUUAGCUAGAUGGUGGGGUAACGGCUCACCAUGGCAAUGAUACGUAGCCGACCUGAGAGGGUAAUCGGCCACAUUGGGACUGAGACACGGCCCAAACUCCUACGGGAGGCAGCAUUAG